rnacentral:rRNA from 1 species
CCCUUAGAUGUUCUGGGCCGCACGCGCGCUACACUGAUGCAUUCAACGAGUUUCUUCCUGGUCCGAGAGGAAUGGGUAACCUUUUGAAAGUGCAUCGUGAUAGGGAUAGACUAUUGCAAUUAUUGGUCUUCAACGAGGAAUUCCUAGUAGACGUAGUUCAUCAGACUGCAUCGAUUACGUCCCUGCCCUUUGUACACACCGCCCGUCGCUCCUACCGAUUGAAUGCUCAGGUGAGCCAUUCGGACUUUCAUCAUGCUGGUUUCCAGUUUUGAUGAAGGAAAGUCUUGCGAACCUUAUCAUUUAGAGGAAGGAGAAUUCGUAACA